CAGCACCUCAAGUGGUCAGGAUGAUUAUUGGGCCUAAAGCAUCCGUAGCCUGCUUUGUCAGUUUUCGGUUAAAUCCAUACGCUCAACGUACAGGCUGCCGGGAAUACUGCAGCGCUAGGGAGUGGGAGAGGUAGACGGUACUCGGUAGGAAGGGGUAAAAUCCUUUGAUCUAUUGAUGACCACCUGUGGCGAAGGCGGUCUACCAGAACACGUCCGACGGUGAGGGAUGAAAGCUGGGGGAGCAAACCGGAUUAGAUACCCGUGUAGUCC
rnacentral:rRNA from 1 species